ensembl:snoRNA U3 Small nucleolar RNA U3
AAGACUAUACUUUCAGGGAUCAUUUCUACAGUUUGUUACUAGAGAAGUUUCUCUGAAUGUGUAGAGCACCGUUUAAAAAUUAAAAAAAAUAUCCCUCAGGGUGGUUUUUAUCUGG